AUUGAACGCUGGCGGCAGGCCUAACACAUGCAAGUCGAGCGGAUGAGGAAAGCUUGCUUUUCGAUUCAGCGGCGGACGGGUGAGUAAUGCCUAGGAAUCUGCCUGUUAGUGGGGGAUAACUCGGGGAAACUCGGGCUAAUACCGCAUACGUCCUACGGGAGAAAGUGGGGGAUCUUCGGACCUCACGCUAACAGAUGAGCCUAGGUCGGAUUAGCUAGUAGGUGAGGUAAUGGCUCACCUAGGCGACGAUCCGUAACUGGUCUGAGAGGAUGAUAAGUCACACUGGAACUGAGACACGGUCCAGACUCCUACGGGAGGCAGCAGUGAGGAAUUUUGCGCAAUGGACGAAAGUCUGACGCAGCGACGCCGCGUGUGGGAUGAAGGGGCUACGCCCUGUAAACCACUGUUAGAUGUGAAAAAAAGAUAGCUUUGCUGUCCGGGAUUGUAACAUCAAAGAAAGGACCGGCUAACUACGUGCCAGCCGCCGCGGUAAAAC
rnacentral:rRNA from 1 species